AACGAACGCUGGCGGCAUGCCUAACACAUGCAAGUCGAACGAAACCUUCGGGUCUGGUGGCGCACGGGUGCGUAACGCGUGGUAACCUGCCAUUAGGUUCCGAAUAACUCCCCGAAAGGGGUGCUAAUACCGGAUAAUGUCUGCGGACCAAAGAUUUAUUGCCUUUGGAUGGGCCCGCGUUGGAUUAGCUAGUUGGUAGGGUAAAAGCCUACCAAGGCGACGAUCCAUAGCUGGUCUGAGAGGAUGCUCAGCCACACUGGGACUGAGACACGGCCCCGACUCCUACGGGAGGCAGCAGUGGGGAAUAUUGGACAAUGGGCGAAAGCCUGAUCCAGCGAGGCCGCGUGAGUGAUGAAGGCCUUAGGGUUGUAAAGCUCUAUUACCCGGGAUGAUAAUGACAGUACCGGGAGAAUAAGCACCGGCUAACUACGUG
rnacentral:rRNA from 1 species